rnacentral:rRNA from 1 species
CACGUAGGGGCGAGCGUUGUUCGGAUUCAUUGGGCGUAAAGGGUGUGUAGGUGGCGCGCUAAGUCGGGUGUGAAAUUUCGGAGCUUAACUCCGAAACUGCAUUCGAUACUGGCGUGCUUGAGGACUGGAGAGGAGACUGGAAUUCAUGGUGUAGCAGUGAAAUGCGUAGAUAUCUGGAGGAACACCGGUGGCGAAGGCGGCAUCCUGGACCAACACUGACACUGAGGAGCGAAAGCCAGGGGAGCAAACGGG